rnacentral:rRNA from 1 species
UACGGAGGAUCCAAGCGUUAUCCGGAUUUAUUGGGUUUAAAGGGUGCGUAGGCGGCCUAUUAAGUCAGGGGUGAAAGACGGUAGCUUAACUAUCGCAGUGCCUUUGAUACUGAUGGGCUUGAAUACACUAGAGGUAGGCGGAAUGUGACAAGUAGCGGUGAAAUGCAUAGAUAUCAGGAGGAACACCGGUGGUGUAGACGGCUUUCUGGACCGUAACUGACGCUGAGACACGAAAGCGUGGGUAGCAAACAGG